rnacentral:lncRNA from 1 species
UCUUUCUAAAAGUAGAAAAAAAUAAAACAUUAACAAGUAACAAAGAUUGAAGAACAAAAAAACGUGUCGUAUGACUGUAAUAAAAAGGAAGGGUGAGGCAUUUGAUGAGAGUUGUAAGGAGAAGCGUUUUAAUCAAGGGUGCCGUCAUUACAACCACUUGUUUUCAACGGGGAUGUAAUGCAAUGAUUCUGCUAGUGGUCAGGCUUCCAAUGCUCACACAGGGUGAUAAACAACGCUGAUAUGAACACAAACCAACUGCUUUGUCUUGAGUCAUCGGGAAAACUUUUUCCUCAGGGGAGGGUGAGUAGUAUGAGUCUGAGUCCAUUGUGGUGCGUGAAUGUUUCGAAUCAUCAUAGAAGACGUGUCGGGUUCUGCUAGAAGAGUAUUAGGAUUUUGUUGGUUUGUUUCCAGGUAGGGUUUAGACUGUUUGAAGCAUUCUUGGUUCAAUACCAACUCUUCUGAAAGACAAGAAUACAACGUUCAUGUAUCACAAGGAAUGACCAAUCUAAGGUAGAGAACCUAAUUUAGAUACACAAAUUCAUCACCGGUUUCUACAGCACAAGCACAUACACAAUUUGUUGGAAGAACCCGACACGUCUUCUGCUAGUUACUCUUUUCUUCGAUUUCAACAAAUCUUUCAAAAUCUUAAGUGAUGGACAAUUGGUUAAAAGAUGUAGAAGAGUUUGUGUAGAGAUCUUUACGUAUAAAUUUGCAUCAUCCUUACGGUUACAAAUGAAGUAUUAAAAGAUGUAGUUUCUUGACAGUAUGGUUUCUCGACAAAUGAAGUAUUAUAUGUCCUUGCUGCCUCUUCGGUUGGUAAAAGACAUAGGAUGGUUUCUAAUACAGGCUCUUUUAGAGAAGCUGUGACAACCCUCACCAAAUCAGGUACUAUGCGUAAUUGGCUGGAUAUUUCUCCUUAGCAUCAUAAAGAGUCUCGCAAGCUUAGAUGCCUAUGUCUGUUGAACAAUACUUAUAUUUUUAUUUGAUCCCCUGUGGAUACUUUUCGACUAUUCGUAAUACAUUUGAUAUUACAAACAAUGGUUGAAAUAUAAUUAUCUU